rnacentral:rRNA from 1 species
AGAGUUUGAUCCUGGCUCAGAUUGAACGCUGGCGGCAUGCCUUACACAUGCAAGUCGAACGGCAGCACGGGGGCAACCCUGGUGGCGAGUGGCGAACGGGUGAGUAAUACAUCGGAACGUGUCCUGUAGUGGGGGAUAGCCCGGCGAAAGCCGGAUUAAUACCGCAUACGAUCUACGGAAGAAAGCGGGGGAUCCUUCGGGACCUCGCGCUAUAGGGGCGGCCGAUGGCAGAUUAGCUAGUUGGUGGGGUAAAGGCCUACCAAGGCGACGAUCUGUAGCUGGUCUGAGAGGACGACCAGCCACACUGGGACUGAGACACGGCCCAGACUCCUACGGGAGGCAGCAGUGGGGAAUUUUGGACAAUGGGCGCAAGCCUGAUCCAGCAAUGCCGCGUGAGUGAAGAAGGCCUUCGGGUUGUAAAGCUCUUUUGUCAGGGAAGAAACGGUCUUGGUUAAUACCUGGGGCUAAUGACGGUACCUGAAGAAUAAGCACCGGCUAACUACGUGCCAGCAGCCGCGGUAAAUACGUAGGGUGCAAGCGUUAAUCGGRAWUWACUGGGCGUAAAGCGUGCGCAGGCGGUUGUGUAAGACAGGUGUGAAAUCCCCGGGCUUAACCUGGGAAUGGCAUUUGUGACUGCACGGCUAGAGUGUGUCAGAGGGGGGUAGAAUUCCACGUGUAGCAGUGAAAUGCGUAGAGAUGUGGAGGAAUACCGAUGGCGAAGGCAGCCCCCUGGGAUAACACUGACGCUCAUGCACGAAAGCGUGGGGAGCAAACAGGAUUAGAUACCCUGGUAGUCCACGCCCUAAACGAUGUCUACUAGUUGUCGGGUCUUAAUUGACUUGGUAACGCAGCUAACGCGUGAAGUAGACCGCCUGGGGAGUACGGUCGCAAGAUUAAAACUCAAAGGAAUUGACGGGGACCCGCACAAGCGGUGGAUGAUGUGGAUUAAUUCGAUGCAACGCGAAAAACCUUACCUACCCUUGACAUGGCUGGAAUCCUUGAGAGAUCAGGGAGUGCUUGAAAGAGAACCAGUACACAGGUGCUGCAUGGCUGUCGUCAGCUCGUG